GGGCGCGACGAUUUUGUUGACGGGCGCU
rnacentral:sRNA from 1 species